UACAGAGGGUGCAAGCGUUAAUCGGAAUUACUGGGCGUAAAGCGUGCGUAGACGGUUAUUUAAGUCAGAUGUGAAAUCCCCGGGCUCAACCUGGGAACUGCAUUUGUGACUGCAUAGCUAGAGUACGGUAGAGGGGGAUGGAAUUCCGCGUGUAGCAGUGAAAUGCGUAGAUAUGCGGAGGAACACCGAUGGCGAAGGCAAUCCCCUGGACCUGUACUGACGCUCAUGCACGAAAGCGUGGGGAGCAAACAGG
rnacentral:rRNA from 1 species